rnacentral:misc_RNA from 1 species
GAUGAAGGAACGUAGCGAAAUGCGAUAAGUAAUGUGAAUUGCAGAAUCCAGUGAAUCAUCGAAUCUUUGAACGCACAUUGCGCCCGCCAGCAUUCUGGCGGGCAUGCCUGUUCGAGCGUCAUUUCAACCCUCGACCUCCCUUUGGGGAAGUCGGCGUUGGGGACCGGCAGCACACCGCCGGCCCUGAAAUGGAGUGGCGGCCCGUCCGCGGCGACCUCUGCGUAGUAAACCAACUCGCACCGGAACCCCGACGUGGCCACGCCGUAAAACACCCAACUUCUGAACGUUGACCUCGAAUCAGGUAGGACUACCCGCUGAACUUAAGCAUAUCAAUAAGCGGAGGA